CCGAAGCAACGUCAGUAUAGCCGCGGCAGCCGAAGCGACCUGGUCAUCGGGAGCGACUUCGAUAGUAGCGCGUACAUCGGGCUAAGAAUCAGUACGCAGUUACUGCUGUUCUGUUUUGUUGGAUUUCCUCCGGUCACGUUUCAAACUUACCUAAAAAAAAUCGUAGGAUUCUUUUACACGUAAAUCCGGUUUCCAGUUCUGAUUUAGUGAUAACUCGGCAAGUAGUGUUCAGUUUGAUCUACAUGAUUGUAAAAAGUGCUUAACAAUCAGUAAAUACAGAAAGACCUAUAUCAUCGGGAGUUUCGUGAAUUCCGUAACUCGGAAAUUUUUCCAUGAGCGGUGGUGCGCAGUGUCUUUGUAUCGUAAACAUCACGCGUCGAUGCUCCCGAACGGUCCGCGAUUCGUCUCGAUGAAUUUAAGGUUUUCCGUCUUGGAUUCCACGGCAGUUCAGCUUCGGCCAUAGGAACGGCGACACCAGGAGCGACGUCAGUAGCAACGCAGGUCCUCCAGAGCAACGAUGGAGAGAGCGAACGGUCGCAGUUCCCUCCAACGUCAUUGACCGGACUUCCCCUGUUCAUCAGGGGGAGUCCAGGGACCCGUCCCCUGGGACUGCGCGGCCUCCCACCGCCCCCGGGGUCCCAGGGGACCCAGUC